CAGAAUUGUACUGCGAAUAGUAUGUUAGCAUAUGUUCUUACGUAACCAAUACAAUGCUGGAUUCUAGGCGCGCUUGGUAUAAAUGCUAAACCCCACCCAGGCAACAUGCAUUCGUUCUUGGAUAGCGUGCUGAUGACACGCAGUGUUUAGUCUCAAGACGUUGCGGACUGUUAUGAUAAUGCCGUACGUGGGAUACAGUGGAACUAUAGCGUGCAGGGAACUGUCUUUGAUACGGUGCUGAUACUAACUCCAUGAUAUAUCGGAUGAUAAUUUACUGGCCGCUUCAAACUUUGCCUGGAAGAUAUAAAAGACCAUUUCGACACUCCACAUGAAUAUGAAGAUUGCAUGUAUGAGUAUAAAGACUGUGGAUAGUGUCAUGAAGAGGGUCAAAGCUAGCGCACAGUCUCCAGUCGGACUACUUCGUCUUCAGGAUGUUGAGUUCUUGCCGAUCAAGAAUUUCUAGGACUGCAUGCUAGGCAUUGUCAAACACUGCGAACCUUGUCAAAACAUUUGCUUCAACUGUGAAACAUUUAUAUCGUUGAAACGUUUAAAUUGUUACAUGUAACAUUACUAUGUGCGAACAUUCUGAACAAGAAAAAAAUGUUUCUUGACUAAUAUCGCCUAAACACUGUAAGAAAUUGUAUAAGAAAAUGCAUGAAAUUCUAUUUGAGAAACGGUGUAGCAUGCUGUAUAAGAAACAAAAAUGGUUCUUGACUUUCACGUAAAGGAACGAAUGAUGCCUAAAUUCCAUUUGAGAACCGGUGUAGCAUGCUGUAUAAAAAACAAAGAAAGUUCUUAACUUUCACGCAAUCGUUCGAAUGAUGCAUAAAAUUACAUUUGAAAAACGGUGUAGGACCUAUGAGAAAAUUCUGUAUGAGAAAAAAAUGGUUCUUGUAAACGUACGAAAUGUAUAAGAAAAUGCAUAAAAUCAUCAUUGAAAAAACGGUGUAGUAAAGCUGCAACUGUGCAAGACUA